UGGCCUACGGGGGGCAGCAGUGAGGAAUAUUGGUCAAUGGGCGCAAGCCUGAACCAGCCAAGUCGCGUGAGGGAAGACGGCCCUACGGGUUGUAAACCUCUUUUGCCGGGGAGCAAGCCUGAGCACGUGUGCCCAGGCGGAGAGUACCCGGAGAAAAAGCAUCGGCUAACUCCGUGCCAGCAGCCGCGGUAAUACGGAGGAUGCGAGCGUUAUCCGGAUUUAUUGGGUUUAAAGGGAGCGUAGGUGGAUUGUUAAGUCAGUUGUGAAAGUUUGCGGCUCAACCGUAAAAUUGCAGUUGAAACUGG
rnacentral:rRNA from 1 species